UGCAGCAGGAGCGGCUACCCAAGCGGCCGCAGCCUCUUCCUCCUCCUUCUUCUCCUCCGCCGCCGCUGCCACUGCCACCGCCGCGGCCGCCGCCUCCACCCUGCCUCCUCCCAGCCUCCGCCCCGUCCCCUCCUCCUCCGCCCUCGAACUUAGUCAGCGGUUCGCGCCUCCGCGCGCCUAUUGGCCGGCGGAACGCGACGCGUCACAAUGGAGCCGGUCGGAGGCGGCGAGCCCGGCAGCGCCGGGGCUUCCCGCUGAGUCCGCAGCCCCGGGCAGCCGGGAAAGUGCGGGCGCAGGCCGCCGCCGGCGCGCCUGGAGAGGCGCGGGGCGCGGGGCGCACGCUGCGGAGAGCGCCGGCGCCCGGGGCUGGAGUCGCGCAGGAAUUCCUCAAAUUGAAACUAAUUGCAGAGUUUCUGGUUGACCAGCAUUCAUAGGGUAAGAUUAACGUCCUGAAUUGUGAACACAUGUAAAAAUAAUUACAAUUAGGUUGGUAGCUUGGGGCAAGU
rnacentral:lncRNA from 1 species